UGGCUCAUUGGUAGAGCGCUUGCCUUGCAUGCAUGAGGCCCUGGGUUCGAUUCCUCAG
rnacentral:tRNA from 1 species